GACGAACGCUGGCGGCGUGCCUAAUACAUGCAAGUCGAACGAGAGCGACCGGUGCUUGCACUGGUCAAUCUAGUGGCGAACGGGUGAGUAACACGUGGGUAACCUGCCCAUCAGAGGGGGAUAACAUUCGGAAACGGAUGCUAAAACCGCAUAGGUCUUCGAGCCGCAUGGCUUGAAGAGGAAAAGAGGCGCAAGCUUCU
rnacentral:rRNA from 1 species